rnacentral:rRNA from 1 species
AGCAGCCGCGGUAAUUCCAGCUCCAAUAGCGUAUAUUAAAGUUGUUGCAGUUAAAAAGCUCGUAGUUGAAUUUCGGGGUCAGUAGGUUGGUCAUGCCACAGGUAUGUACUGAUCUUACUGAUUCCUCCUUCCUGAUGAACCGUAAUGCCAUUAAUUUGGUGUUGCGGGGAAACUGGACUGUUACUUUGAAAAAAUUAGAGUGUUUAAAGCAGGCUAACGCUUGAAUACAUUAGCAUGGAAUAAUGAAAUAGGACGUUCGAUCCUAUUUUGUUGGUUUCUAGGAUUGACGUAAUGAUUAAUAGGGAUAGUUGGGGGCAUUAGUAUUCAAUUGUCAGAGGUGAAAUUCUUGGAUUUAUUGAAGACUAACUACUGCGAAAGCAUUUGCCAAGGAUGUUUUCAUUAAUCAAGAACGAAAGUUAGGGGAUCGAAGACGAUCAGAUACCGUCGUAGUCUUAACCAUAAACUAUGCCGACUAGGGAUCGGGAUGAUGUUAAUUUUUAUAAUGACUCAUUCGGCGUAC